rnacentral:rRNA from 1 species
UAUUAAGCGUAGGAAAAGAAACUAACUAGGAUUUCCCCAGUAGCGGCGAGCGAACAGGAAAAAGCCCAGCACUAAAUCCCGUGGUUUUGCCACAGGGAAAUGUAGUGUUCGGGAGGAUCAGAUUAUCCCGGGGUAUCGGAUCGCGUCCAAGUCCAUCUUGAAUGGGGCUCUUUACCCACAGAGGGUGCCAGGCCUGUAGUGGCCGGUUAUCGAGCCUCGGGAGGAUCUCUCCUUAGAGUCGGGUUGCUUGAGAGUGCAGCUCUAAGCGGGUGGUAAACUCCAUCUAAGGCUAAAUAUUACCACGAGACCGAUAGCGAACAAGUACCGUGAGGGAAAGUUGAAAAGAACUUUGAAGAGAGAGUUCAAUAGUACGUGAAACCGUUCAGGGGUAAACCUAAGAAACCCAAAAGAUCGAACGGGGAGAUUCAUCGUCAGCGACGUUGGCUUCGUGUCGGUCGGCGAUGUCCCGUGAAUCUCACGGUUUACGGGCACGUUACCGCGCGCGUAUGUCCGACGUUGUCGUCGUGCACUUCUCCCCUAGUAGGACGUCGCGACCCGCUGGGUGUCGGUCUACGGGCCGGGUGUGGUGUCUGUCGUGUCGCCGGUAAAACGGCACGUGGCAAACCCUCGGUUACCCGGCCGGCUGCCCGGCGGUACACUCAACGGUAUCAGGCCGCAAAUUUAAACUGCGUCAAGCCCGUCACAAGCGCGGCCACUUUUGGUAUCGGAGGUUACGGACCUGGCGCCGUCCCCGGUCCUGGCCCGCUGUUGGUCGACGGUGGAUUAUAUUACCUUUGACUGUGCCUAUAAUAAUAUAUACCGGUCGGCGACGCUACUGCUUUGGGUACUUUUAGGACCCGUCUUGAAACACGGACCAAGGAGUCUAACAUGUGCGCGAGUCAUUGGGAGUCUACUAAACCUAAAGGCGUAAUGAAAGUGAAGGUCGGCCCUGGUGCCGACCUAGGGAGGAUGGACCGCGUUGCGAUGCGGUUUCGCACUCCCGGGGCGUCUCGUUCUCAUUACGAGAACAGGCGCACCCAGAGCGUACACGUUGGGACCCGAAAGAUGGUGAACUAUGCCUGGUCAGGACGAAGUCAGGGGAAACCCUGAUGGAGGUCCGUAGCGAUUCUGACGUGCAAAUCGAUCGUCGGAACUGGGUAUAGGGGCGCAAAGUACUAAUCGUAACCAUC